CUGAAUGUGAAACUUCAGCUUUUUGCUUUUAUUGCAAAGCAACCAGCUUUCCACCAGCUUCGGUCAGUUGAGCAACUUGGAUAUAUUACUGUGCUCAUGCCCAGAAAUGAUUCUGGCGUUCGAGGUGUACAGUUUGUUAUCCAAUCUACAGUGAAGGGCCCUCGACGUGUUGAUUUGAGAGUCGAGGCAUUUCUCAAGAUGUUUGAAACUAAACUUUAUGAGAUGACAAAUGAAGAAUUCAAGAAUAAUGUUAAUGCUUUGAUUGAUAUGAAGCUCGAGAAGCACAAGAAUUUGAGGGAAGAAUCUGGAUUUUACUGGCGAGAGAUAUAUGAUGGAACCCUAAAGUUUGAUCGGAAAGACUCUGAGGUAUGAGUAUCUAUCUGAUCUUUCUGCUGAUGUUUAAUAUUUGCUCUCCAUAUUUAUGGUUGGAGAAUAUCACCAAUGUAUUAUAUCAUGGAAAGGGAGCAAAGGGGUGAGGGAAAAAAUAUGUGUGUGUAAGUUUUCUUUACACUCAUUGAAUUCUAAUGUGAAAACAAAGCAAGCUUCUCUGUUGAGUUUUAGAUGAUAAAAGAGUAAGCUCUUUAGUCCAUAGUUGAUGAACAUCCUUAAAACAGGUGGCUGCAUUAAGGCAACUGGAGCAGCGAGAGUUUGUAGGGUUUUUCAAUGAACACAUAAAAGUCGGUGCACCUCAGAAGAGGACAUUAAGUGUUCGUGUUUAUGGGUCCCCACAUUCAUCAGAGUAUGCAACAGAUAACAGUGAAUCAGUUGCAUCCAACUCUGUUGCAAUAGAUGAUAUUUUCAGCUUCAGAAGAUCACAACCUCUUUAUGGUUCCUUCAAAGGAGGCUUGGGUCAUAUGAAGUUGUAGGGUAGGAACUCAUUUAAGAUUGUUGAUAAAAAGGAUCAGAAAUGGAACUUUUCCCAUCUCCUGGUGGAUAAAACUUGGUACAAGCUUUGCUGUCUGGAAGUAAAACAAAGCCAAGUCUCAGAAUUUUCGAAAACUUUCAAGGGCUGGAGUAGCUUUUCUUGCAUGGCAUUGGAGAUGCGAGUUCUUUUUCUGAUUCCUCUUUCGGGUUCCAAUCUCAAAAUCAUAUUGUAACUUAUCAUUGUAUCAGUUGACAAAAUAAAUUAUGGCUUAUUUGGUGUUUGUUUGCUUUAUUCUCUGUUUGGCUGUAUUAAUCUGAGACUACUACAAACUACCAUCCCUUCCUUCCAAUGUUUGCUCCCACUACAUAUAUCACCAAAAUUUUAGAUUAUUCGAAGAGAUGGAAGGGGCGAUGGGGAAGUGGAGGCAGAAUGCGGCUUCGGGGGAUUUUAGGUCUUUGAUAAAGAUUUUACAGGUUUCCUUUGUUGUUGGUACAUCAGAAAGUUGGCAGUGCAGAGGAUGGUGGUGGUGCUCGUCAUCUCCGACGGUUAGCUAUGGACGUGGUGGCCAUGGUAGAUAAUAGAGUGAACGUGGAUUGCAAAGACGGAAAACGAUCAGGGUUAGGUCACUAGGGGCUGUAGAGGAGGCAUGGGCUAAUGCCAUGGUGAAAUGUAGAGCACUAAUCAAAGGGAGCAUGUGGGUAACAAGCAUUAUAUUUUUGAAGCUCAAUCUGAUAUGUGGCCUUUUGAAAGCCUUGAUUUGAUAAUGGUUGAUUGUGAUUUACCUCACUAAAAUUAUUGCCAAAAGGUUAAAAAAAUAAAUAAAAAAAGAAAACCUGAAGGUGAAAAAAAAAAUCAACAAUUUGAUUUUAAAAUAAAUUAAGAAAUUUCAAUGCAAAGAAAAGAUUAAUAAAACCAUAAAAUCAAUCAUUUGUUUUAAAAUUAAUUAAAAAUUUAAUAGAUAUAAAAG
rnacentral:misc_RNA from 1 species